GUGCUUGCUUCGACAGCACAUAUACUAAAAACUGGGACGAUACGGAGAUUAGCAUGGCCCCUACACAAAGAUGACAUACAAAUUCGUGAAAUGUUCCAUAUUUUU